rnacentral:RNase_P_RNA from 1 species
GCGGAGGGCCGGAUGGCCGCUGCGGCCUCGCGGCCGUGGAGGAAAGUCCGGACUCCAGGAAGCAACGGUGCCGGGUAACGCCCGGGCGGGGCAACCCGACGGAAAGCGCCACAGAGAACAGACCGCCUCCGCGCUCCGCGCGGGGGCAAGGGUGAAACGGUGGGGUAAGAGCCCACCGGGGGGGCGGCAACGUCCCCCGCAUGGCAAGCCCCACCGGGAGCAAUGCCAUAUAGGGAUGCCGUGGCGGGCUGAUCCUCCGGGAUAUCGCCGCCGGGCCGCUUCCGCCCAGGCAUCCGGGUAGGCAGCUCGAGGCGUGCGGCGACGCGCGUCCCAGAGGAAUGGUCAUCCCUUCCGGUCCGCCGGGAGGACAGAAUCCGGCUUACAGGCCCUCCGCGCAU